UGCCGGUUGGGUGAAAUCGUGCUUAUAACCCGAAGGUCGCAGGUUCAAAUCCUGCCCCCGCAACCA
rnacentral:tRNA from 1 species